rnacentral:rRNA from 1 species
CCCUUAGAUGUCCUGGGCCGCACGCGCGCUACACUGAACGGAUCAGCGCGUUUUCCCUUCCCGAGAGGGACGGGUAACCUGCUGAACCCCGUUCGUGGUAGGGAUCGGGGCUUGCAAUUAUUCCCCGUGAACCAGGAAUGCCCAGUAAGUGCAAGUCAUAAGCUUGCGUUGAUUACGUCCCUGCCCUUUGUACACACCGCCCGUCGCUACUACCGAUUGAACGUUUUAGUGAGGUACUCGGACUGAGCCUCAGAAAAUUCACGUCUUUUGUGCUGCUCGGGAAGAUUCCCAAACUUGAGCGUUUAGAGGAAGUAAAAGUCGUAACA